rnacentral:rRNA from 1 species
GACGAACGCUGGCGGCGUGCCUAAUACAUGCAAGUAGAACGCUGAAGGAGGAGCUUGCUUCUCUGGAUGAGUUGCGAACGGGUGAGUAACGCGUAGGUAACCUGCCUGGUAGCGGGGGAUAACUAUUGGAAACGAUAGCUAAUACCGCAUAAUAGUAGAUGUUGCAUUACAUUUGCUUAAAAGGUGCAAUUGCAUCACUACCAGAUGGACCUGCGUUGUAUUAGCUAGUUGGUGGGGUAACGGCUCACCAAGGCGACGAUACAUAGCCGACCUGAGAGGGUGAUCGGCCACACUGGGACUGAGACACGGCCCAGACUCCUACGGGAGGCAGCAGUAGGGAAUCUUCGGCAAUGGACGGAAGUCUGACCGAGCAACGCCGCGUGAGUGAAGAAGGUUUUCGGAUCGUAAAGCUCUGUUGUAAGAGAAGAACGAGUGUGAGAGUGGAAAGUUCACACUGUGACGGUAUCUUACCAGAAAGGGACGGCUAACUACGUG